GAUGAACGCUAGCUACAGGCUUAACACAUGCAAGUCGAGGGGCAGCAUGAACAUAGCUUGCUAUGUUUGAUGGCGACCGGCGCACGGGUGCGUAACACGUAUCCAAUCUACCCAUGGCUCGGGGAUAGCCUGUCGAAAGAAAGAUUAAUACCCGAUGGUCUAGGUUUAAGGCAUCUUAGACUGAGUAAAGAUUUAUCGGCGAUGGAUGAGGAUGCGUCUGAUUAGGUAGCUGGCGGGGUAACGGCCCACCAUGCCUACGAUCAGUAGGGGUUCUGAGAGGAAGGUCCCCCACAUUGGAACUGAGACACGGUCCAAACUCCUACGGGAGGCAGCAGUGAGGAAUAUUGGUCAAUGGACGAGAGUCUGAACCAGCCAAGUAGCGUGAAGGAUGACUGCCCUAUGGGUUGUAAACUUCUUUUGUUUGGGAAUAAAGUUCGGGACGUGUCCCGUUUUGUAUGUACCAUUCGAAUAAGCAUCGGCUAAUUCCGUGCCAGCAGCCGGGUAAAAC
rnacentral:rRNA from 1 species